AUUGCAUAGCGAACCUUGCCCUUCCCUACAGGCAUUGGGCCGAUCAAAUCAAGUCCUUAUUGGGCGAAGGGCCAAGGGCUGAUCAUAGGAGUGAGCGGCUUGGUAGGGGAGUGAGGAAUAGUUGCGUAGUGUUGACACUUAUCACAUGAGCAGGAUAUUCUGAUGGCAUCUUGGUAGAGUGUUGGCCAGUAAUAUCCUUGGCGAAAAGCUUUGUGUGCUAGGGAUCGAGAUCCAGCAUGAUCUCCGCAGACUCCUUCACGUAUUUCCCGAUGGACAGUU
rnacentral:lncRNA from 1 species